rnacentral:lncRNA from 1 species
ACCUACAGAGGGGCCAGAGAAGAGAGGAAUCAACAAAGAGGCAAGCUUCUUCUCUGAGGGUAUCUCCAGGAAGGACUGAUCAAGGGGAGAAGACCCUCUCUCAGAAGCAGGGUUACCUGUUGCCUUCACUUCCUGCUGCUGGGUGUGUGUCUAUCCCAGCGCCAUUUUGCACAGCCAUCAGAAUCCAGUUCCCUCGGGCUUCCUGUGUGGACUGAAGACCAGCAGCUCUCCACCAAUCCUUCAAGCCUUCGGCAUCUGACUGAAAUGCUGAGGCAUCCAGUCACACGGAUAUCUGAGUAGCUAUUGGGCUCCUGGCUUCUCUGUGUGCAAACGGUCAUCGCUGGACUUCUCGGCCCCAUUGUGUCCCAGAGAUGAAGCCAUGGCCACUGUGCCACAGGGAAGGACUUCUCUGCCUACCAUCCUCCUAGAGAAAGAAGAACGUGGGGAACAAAUGAGCAAGGCCAGGUCCAGUCACAUGAAAGAUGUUGAGGGGACUUAGUGAGACUGGAUAUGCUCUGAGCAGCAUGAGAGGCCUG